rnacentral:lncRNA from 1 species
CUGUGUCAUCUCUCUACAAAAGCAUACAAGAGUUCCUUGUUUAUUGUUUGAUAAUUGCAUGUAGUCAACGGGAAUAAACCAAACCCCUUGACCACAUCCUAUAUCUAGUCAUAUAGGAAAAUCUCUGAGUACAACUUUCUCCCAUGUGAUAUUAAUUUUAGCUCAUCACGUUACUACAACAACAUAUAUAAUUACUAAAUAAGUUCCAAAACAAAAAAAAAACUUUCAAUGAUUGAAUAAAUUUUAAAUAUUGAAACAAACUUAGUAGUGUACCAUGCCACCCCAUACUUCCCAAGCCACAUGAUCAACGUAUGAGGUUAGCAGUGACGUGUCCUUAAGGCCACCAGGAAAGACAACAUAUGGUUCUAGCUCUUGCUGGUUCGUAGGCUAGACAUGGUCAACAACCUCCACUUGCUCAACAUGCUCCAAAGGCUCCACUUGCACAAGUUGCUCCAAACAGUCCACUACUUGAACUUCUACACAUCACCUUCAUUCAGACAUUGUAGGUCUAAUGCAUCUGUCAUUGUCAUCAUUACCAUCAAAACUAACUCUUUUUGUACAUGCCAUCUGAACAUUAAAUUUUUAUCAUUAGAUUCCACAAUCAGAUAGGCUAAAAGCAACAACUUCUACAAUAAAGAAGAAAACAUCGGAAACAUCACGGAGUACUAUAUUCUUCAUAUUGUUAAACAUUGGAGUAAAGAUUGGGAAUUACAAAUUAUUACUCGAUAAAAAUAUGUUUCUAAUCUUCUAUACUAGUCUCUAUUUAUUGCUUACAAAAUAUCAAACAAACAUUGCAAAAACUGGUAUUCAUGCUUUCUAUCUCUUAAUUUAACCCAACUAAAUUUGUUAUGGGAUAGGAUUACUGAUGUGAAUUGAUUCAAUUAGGAAUCUUGGUAUUAUUUCACACUUGUUGAAUGUUAGGAACUCAUAAAAUGUGAUUAGAUAUGAAUAUAAAUUCGUAUAGGCUAAGAGGAAUUCUCUUAGGAAAUUCCAAGCAUUCUAAAGAGUUCAAAUGAAAUCAAAUUAUAAAAGAAAAUGUGUAAAAUGUGAUUUGUAUGUAUUAUUUUUCAUUUACAUAAUUUUUGCAGCUUCUCGAGUCUUUUUCUUUGGUGUACAUUUAUGUAUUAUUAUACCCAAAUAGCAUUUAUGCUUAGGAAAUUUUGAGGAUGGAACAAAAGUAAUAAUAUAUCAUGGUUGAAUAACAUUAAAAUUAAGAUCUAAGCUGCAUGUUGGAGAGUAAAGUGUGAAUGUAUGUAUACAUGAUUUUGAUGAUGUCAAAGAAGAAUCUAACAAGGCUGCUUCAAAUGAUAAGCAUUUGCUUCAAGAAUAAUUCAAAAUUGCUUCAACAAACAAAGCCUUGUUUCAAGAUUCACUAAAGACCAAGCCUUGCCUUAAAACAAAGUGCUUUCAAGACAUGCAAGGCUCUGGUAAUCGAUUACCAGGAAGUGUAAUCGAUUACCAGAAGACAGGGUUGAGAAAUAGCUGUUGAAAAAUGUUUUGAAUUUGAAUUUUCAACAUGUAAUUGAUUACCAGCAACGAAACUUUGGAAAUUCAAAUUCAAAAGUCAUAACCCUUCAAAUUAUAAAUGUGUAAUCGAUUACACAAACAUUGUAAUCGAUUACCAGUGGAAAGUUUUCAGAAAAUCUGCCAACAGUCACAUCUUUUCAUUAGAUUUGUGAAUGGCCAUCAAAGGCCUAUAAAUAGGUGACUUGGGCACGAAUUUUAUGCAGAGAGUUUUGCUUGGCAAAAAUGUCUUAUCCUCUCAAAAGACAAUGAGAGAGAUUCCAAAAGAACUUCAUUGUCAAAUGCUCUCUCAAAAGAAAUCCUUGGCCAAACACUUGCAAAAUCUAUAAGAAUUCCUACAUGAUCUUUAUUGUAAUAUUCUUCUCUUGAAGAGAGAAUUCUUCUUCCAUUCUUCUUAUUCAAUGAGAUUGACUAAGAGACUGUGAGUCUCUUGUUGUAAAGCAUCUGAACACAAGGAAUGGGUUGUCCCUGUGUGGUUCAGACUUUGUAAAGGAUUUUACAAAGAUAGUGGAAAUCUCAAGUGGGUUGCUUGAGUACUGGAUGUAGGCACGGGUUGUGGCCGAACCAGUAUAAAACUGUGUUUGCAUUCUCUCUUCCCUUAUCUCAUUUAUGUUAUUACAAUCAAUUUUGCCUUGCAUGUUUAUAGAACAUUAUUAAAUUGAUUGUUGUUGCUUCUUCUGCAUUCUAAGUCUAUCCCUCUUAAGAUUAUUGAGGCCACAAGGUCCAACAUAAAGUGCAGAGUAAUAAAUAUUAUUGUUUGAUGAAAUACAAGAAUUUGGAUAACAAAUCAAAUGAUUGUUCCAAACCAGCUAUUCCAAAAUAGGUGUUCUGGAACAGCUAUUCUAGAAUAGGUGUUUUGGAACACCUACUCCAUUAUAGUUGUUCCAUAACACCAAUUCAGGAUCUGAAGACCUUCCCUACCAGAACCCCAUCCCCCACCAACUCACCACUAGAACCAAAACCAUACUUGCCACUAGAACCAAAACCCAACCCCUCACCAGAACCCAAAAGAGACGAAAGGAACCUACCUUGAAUGACGAUGCACAGAGGAAGGAAGGUGCACAAAGAGCCACGAUGAGGAGGUUGCAGGCAAAACGAGGUGGCACGGGAGAAAGAGGAGGCUUGUUGUGGGAAGAACAACCUUCACGAGAAGGAGACGCGUCGUCGCAUACGAGAAGUGCGUUGUGGGGAAGGGGGUGUUAGGGUAGAUGGUUUCUAAAGGAGAGAGGUAUUAGGAUUGGGGAGGUGUUAUCUCGUUAAGGAUAAUUUAGUAAUUUCAAGAAUGUUUAAGAAGUGUAGGAUUCAAAUCCCAAAAUAAAAGAGUGUAAAUAACAAUUGUCCAAAUAAUAACAUGAGCCCAACAAUUUAAAACAUAAAUGCGGGUUGCUAUGGAUCAAAGGGUGAAUGGCCCAUGAAAAAAAGAAGACGAAAAUCUUCCAAGGCUUAUGUAAUACAAAAUCAUCAAUAAAGUAUUCAAACUAGUCAAGCUUUCAAAAUGGAAAUCUAUAAAUCUAAAAUAUGAUAAUUAUAUAUAUUAGUAGACACAUCACUGAUUACAAAUUUAAUUAGAUUUUAAUGAACAAGUGUGCUAUUAAUAAUAAACUAACUAUAAUAGGAAUAUAAAAAAUAAAAGAAAUACUUUUAAUUAAAGUAAAAGUAAUAAAUUAAUUACUAUAAAAAGUAACUCAUUUAUAGUUUAUAAUUUUGUAUCAUUAUUAAUAAUUUGGAAGAGUAAAAAAAAUUCCUAAAUUAAAAUACUAAUUCUUAAGAAACUAUAAUUUUCUAAAUUUCAUGUUAAAAACCCUGAUGUCACAGUUGAGCUUUUAGUUGGAUUAAAAAGUUCAAGUGAUAUACAAAAUAAUUAACAAGACUAAAUUGGUUAAUCCAUAUGACGUAUCCCCUUGAAUUAAUCUACCUCUUGGUUAAAGAGAGAAUAUUAUUUAUAAGUUUCACAUUUAGUGUAUAAUAUUUGUAGAGGUCUCGCUGCACUUUUAGCGUUGUGAUUUGACAUAGAGUUCUGAUAUUGUAAUUUUACAAUCAAGACGUAAACACGAUUUAUAACUUAAAAGUUAGAACUAUUGCUCGGAGGGUUUUGAUAUUUUAAAAAGUUUUAAAAUGUUAUCUAUUCCACCACUACCUUGUGUGUUUCAAAACCCAACAAAUAGGCAUCCAGCUAUCUUCCACUUUGAUUAGACGAAUGUAUGAAGUGUAUUCUCCUUGAAGUAGACAUUUUUGCCUCUAGGAUAAUAAAAUUAGAAGAGAGGAUUUGGUAAAUUUGGUGGAGGAGUAGCAUGGGUCCCUUGUGGCGGCAGGUACCAUGAAACAGGAGAAACUAUAUUUGAGUUGUAUAAUAUAUAACCAAAAAAAAAAAAACUAAUAACAUAUAAUUAUGUAAUUUGAAGAUUAGUCAAUUUAACUGUCUCGGACCUCUGAGUAUGUUAGAUUUACCAUUCAAUUCAAUUUAUUCGCAUUUCGAGACAAAAUAUAACAGGCUGAAAAAUAAACGUAAAAAUAAAGGUGUAGAUAUUUUUACAAAAGUAUUUUUUGUUACCAAUAUCCAUUGGAGUGGUUUCCAACGGUAAAUCAAACAUAUAUCUAAUAAUUUAUCUAGAAUCAGUUUUUGAAGGAGUCCACAACAUCAUUUUAUUGGGUGACAAAAAAAGGAGGUUGAAGAUGGACACGUGUGAAAAUUAUGGAUGGAUUAUAUGAACAUAGAACGACGAAGACAACACCAAGAGUUCGAUAGAUUGCAAGAAUGGAAGAGAGGGAGAGAUUCGUAUCUAAAUGUGCAUUAAAACCCCAACAAUCAAAAGGGUCUAUAUAUUAAAAGGGUCUUAUUGAGUUAUAUGAGUAUCGUGUACCAAUUAUUGUACUUUGUAUCGAAAUUCAACUCCUUCUUUUUGAAUAAAAAAUAUUGGGUAUAUGUGAUUAUGCAAUCUGUUAAUUAAUUUCUUAUAAUAAAAAUAUAUUCUGUUAAUUCAAUUUCUCAUUUGGGUGUAUGUUAGUAAUCUUUUGGUUAUCUUUUAUAAGAAAAAGAAACUAAUUUCAUACUUAUUAAAAAAUUAGUUGAUUUCAUUAAAUUGUGUUAUUUUUAAUUAAAAAUUAAACAUUUUUUCUAAACUAUUUAUCACUCAUUUGGAAUGUGACAUUAAGUACAAAUUCUCUGUUAAAUAAAAGAUAUUUUAAAUAUACUCUUCUUAAAUAAGACAAAAAUAAUUAAAUUUUAUUUAUAUUUGAGAAAAAAAAUACUUUUUUUUUCUUAUAAAAGAGUAUAGAGGAAUAUAUAUACCCAAUUGAUUAGCUUAAUUAUGCCCAGAAAUAAACUCAAUUAGCAUGUUAAAUUUAGAAUUUCUCACAUAUAUUUUGAGAAACUUUUUUUUUAAUGCAAGAGGAUCAUAUAGUUUCAUUAAUGACAAUAGUAUUGAUAUAAGCAGAAAUGCUAUGAAAAAAACUUGUAGUCUAACAAAAGAUUUAAGACGCUCUAAUUAAGAAAUGAGCAAUUAAAUUUGUUUGUGUACCUAUAAAUCUUACUGAAGAGUUGUUAAUCAAGCUAAGCUUCUCAAACAUAACACUAUUGAUAAUUUCAUAUUUAGCUUUAAAAAAUUGUAUAAAUCUCGUGUAUGUACAUCUAAUGGUAAUCAUGAUUCUUAAAAGAAGAAUUUUCUUCCUCUAAAAAGUACAAAAAGAAUUUAUUGGAAUUGAAUCAAUGAGCCAGGAAUAAAGACUUUUAUGCUCACCUGGCAUGUGCCUGAGUUCACUCACUGGGCUUUAAUUUUGGGCAUGUCAUUUGUCUCAUCAAUCAAUCAAAACUAAAGUGACCAAGUCAUCGUGAUUUAACUUUUGGGAUGGAAGCGAUCUUGGGCGGUUAAGGGUGGCCCUUUAGUUUUUGAGAGUGAAUGAACAUC